UAUGGCAGAAAGUUCACAGAUGUA
rnacentral:piRNA from 1 species